CAGCAGCCGCGGGAAUACGAAGGGUGCAAGCGUUAAUCGGAAUUACUGGGCGUAAAGCGUGCGCAGGCGGUUCGCUAAGACAGAUGUGAAAUCCCCGGGCUUAACCUGGGAACUGCAUUUGUGACUGGCGGGCUAGAGUAUGGCAGAGGGGGGUAGAAUUCCACGUGUAGCAGUGAAAUGCGUAGAGAUGUGGAGGAAUACCGAUGGCGAAGGCAGCCCCCUGGGCCAAUACUGACGCUCAUGCACGAAAACGUGGGGAGCAAACAGGAUUAGAUACCCCAGUAGUCCCUGUCUCUUAUAC
rnacentral:rRNA from 1 species